UGAGGAAUAUUGGACAAUGGGUGAGAGCCUGAUCCAGCCAUCCCGCGUGAAGGACGACGGCCCUAUGGGUUGUAAACUUCUUUUGUACAGGGAUAAACCCAGAUACGUGUAUCUGGCUGAAGGUACUGUACGAAUAAGCACCGGCUAACUCCGUGCCAGCAGCCGCGGUAAUACGGAGGGUGCAAGCGUUAUCCGGAUUUAUUGGGUUUAAAGGGUCCGUAGGCGGGCCCGUAAGUCAGUGGUGAAAUCUCGCAGCUUAACUGUGAAACUGCCAUUGAUACUGCGGGUCUUGAGUAAAUUUGAAGUGGCUGGAAUAAGUAGUGUAGCGGUGAAAUGCAUAGAUAUUACUUAGAACACCAAUUGCGAAGGCAGGUCACUAAGAUUUAACUGACGCUGAUGGACGAAAGCGUGGGGAGCGAACAGG
rnacentral:rRNA from 1 species